ensembl:misc_RNA Y_RNA Y RNA
GGCUGGUCCGAUGGUAGUGGGUUAUCAGAACUUACUCACAUUAGUGUCACUAAAGUUGGCAUUCAACCCCCCACUGCUAAAUUUGACUGGCUUUUA